rnacentral:tRNA from 1 species
CAAAGAGUAGUUUAAGUUAAAAUCUUCGCUUUGGGGGCGAGGGAUGAGAUGUUUGUCUUCUCUUUGA